rnacentral:rRNA from 1 species
UGAGGAAUAUUGGUCAAUGGGCGCAAGCCUGAACCAGCCAUCCCGCGUGCAGGAAGAAGGCGCUAUGCGUUGUAAACUGCUUUUCCAGGGGAAGAAAACUUCCAUCGUGAUGGGACUUGCCGGUACCCUGGGAAUAAGCAUCGGCUAACUCCGUGCCAGCAGCCGCGGUAAUACGGAGGAUGCAAGCGUUAUCCGGAUUUAUUGGGUUUAAAGGGUGCGUAGGCGGAUUAAUAAGUCAGUGGUGAAAACCUGCAGCUUAACUGUAGAACUGCCAUUGAUACUGUUAGUCUUGAGUACGGUCAAGGUAGGCGGAAUGUGUAAUGUAGCGGUGAAAUGCUUAGAUAUUACACAGAACACCGAUUGCGAAGGCAGCUUACUGGGCCAUUACUGACGCUGAUGCACGAAAGCGUGGGGAGCGAACAGG